CCGCCGCUCUUCCUUUCUCUUUCUCCCCUUUAGAGGUGAAGGUGCAACAGUUAUCGGUCGUCCCGAAGCCGGGUUCAUCCGACACCCUCACCAACCAAGCUGAACUGAGCUCAACCUCCACAGCAGCAAAAUGCCGCCCAAAUUCGACCCCAACGAGAUUAAAAUUGUGUACAUGAGGUGCACAGGAGGAGAAGUCGGCGCCACCUCAGCCCUGGCCCCCAAAAUCGGACCUCUGGGUCUGUCUCCCAAGAAAGU